UACGAAGGGGGCGAGCGUUGUUCGGAUUUACUGGGCGUAAAGGGCGCGCAGGCGGCUUUGUUUGUCAGGCGUGAAAGCCCCGGGCUUAACCUGGGAACUGCGUUUGAUACGGCAGGGCUAGAGUUCGGGAGAGGAGAGUGGAAUUCCCAGUGUAGAGGUGAAAUUCGUAGAUAUCGAGAGGAACACCAGUGGCGAAGGCGAGUCCCUGGACGACUCCUGACACUGAGGCACGAAAGCUAGGGGAGCAAACAGG
rnacentral:rRNA from 1 species